rnacentral:piRNA from 1 species
UAAAACAAAAUAUGCUCAGUGAAUGAUUGC